CGGCUCUCGGUACCGGCCCGGCCUGCGGGCUGCCGGGCCCGCCGCCGCGGAAGGCGUGUGCUGCCGCCUCGGUCACUUAGGGCCCCCGGUCGUACCCGCGGGGCGCCUGUGGGGUUGUCUCGCCGCUCCCGGGCCGAGACCGCGUGUGGGGCGAGCACGGCUGAGCCCCUGAGCAGGCGUUAGCGUCCCUUCAACCGGGGAAUACCACCUCAAAAAUAAUGCCGUGGUAUCAAACCUACUGAAAAGCGAGCUCUUUUUAGGAGACUUUUGAAGCGUGUUGCUCGCAGCGAGGAAGGCCUGACGAGCAAGCCGUCGCUGGGUGCGGGAAGCCACCCACAGCCAGAGAGCACCGUGAGGCGGACGGGCGAAACGAAGUCCUGCGGGGCGGGCAGCGGGGUUGCCUGCGAGGAGCAGCCGCGCAGCCCGCCUCCUCCUCGGACAGGAGCCGCAGCCCUGCGGGGCAGCCAGGGCCUUCCGCGCCGCGCCGGGGAAGCGAAGCCGGAGGCAGGGAACGGAAGGUGAAGAACAAAGGCAGACCGGAAAGUCAAAAGCAAAUCAAGCAAAUCGUAGCCACCGCCAAAGUGGCAAGCUGGAAGAAAACAAAAAGGGAAAAACCACGUGAAAAGGAUUAAGAGUUUAACAGAGGAAUAAUUAUGGCAAGGCUCGUGUGCGGGGAAGAAGUAUGAACAUUAGAACCGUGACACCACAAUGCAUGGACGAUGAGUAGACAGCCAGCUGCCAUGUUCAGGGUUAUCAUCAUCAAGUCUGGAGGCCAAGCAAAAAGCAGACAAGUUCCCAGCCCCAAUUCCAUUACAGCUGAAAAGGAUCUCAGCACCCAAUUUCUUCCAAGUCCUUUGCAAUUCCCAAUAUUUCCCAGUUUUGGUGCUGUUAGAAUCCCAGCUAGCUACAUCUUUUUGAAGGAGAUGCUGAAACCACAGGAAAUACUGCUUUAAAUUGCUUUGACAAUUUGAGAGUCAGUGUCAAAUUUCAUUUUGUUUUAAUUUUGCCACUUGUAAUCAUCAGGGUAGGAGGAUCUCCCUAGCAGAGACUUGGCAUUCAGCAGAUUGUAUGAGGGGUGCAAAAAAGCAGCUAAUGGCUAUCAUCAGGGAAAAUCUCUAUAAAAGCAGGCAGGUCUGCAUCUCCCUUACAGUCACAACCCGACCACAGCUUCUCCGUCCAUCCCCUAUGAUCCGAUGCACCAGGCACAACUGACCAGUUGAAAUGGAUGUCACCGAGCAGGAGCCAGCGCUACUCCGAAGCUCAUCACAUGGCUUGUGCUCAGGAGAAAAGUGUAUCAUCCCAUGCAUGCUCAGGAGAAAAAGCUGGAAGGGUCUGGCUAUAACUGAGUUCCCACAGUCAGAUGGACAUGUUCUCCCUCCUUCUCUCCCUCUCAGUCUUCCCUUCACCUGCCACCCCACCCUCAUUCCCCCCUUACUGCCACCCCGGUCAAUGUAUAAUGCUUUGUUUUACAUGGACAUUGUAAUAUAGCAUAAACCUGGAUAGCCACUUGGAAGGGUAGUCCCACAUUUCCUGUUCAACCUGAUUGACUGCUCGCUCCCUGCUCCCGCACCAGCAUUUCUGUAAUGACAGGGUCAGAGAAUCAGGGAACUGAUCCAGCUGUAACCUAGUUCAAGGAAAAAAAUUUAACAUCUGGGGACACGACAGGCUUAUUUCAAGGCCCAGGUGACUCAAAGGAGAUCCACGAAGCCGAUGUGGCUGGGGUCCAGGAUCCAGCUGCCCUGUUACGGGGUAGGCAAGGCAUUCUUAAGAGAACUCUAUCAGAGCUCAAGAUGAGCUCAGAAUAGCGACCAAAUCUGAACAAAUCUGCAAAGUUUGUUCGCAGCUGGACCCAUUUGUAAUAAACUGUCAUCCACCCAGAAA